rnacentral:rRNA from 1 species
UACAGAGGUCUCAAGCGUUGUUCGGAUUCGUUGGGCGUAAAGGGUGUGUAGGUGGCGCGCUAAGUCGGGUGUGAAAUUUCGGAGCUUAACUCCGAAACUGCAUUCGAUACUGGCGUGCUUGAGGACUGGAGAGGAGACUGGAAUUCAUGGUGUAGCAGUGAAAUGCGUAGAGAUCAUGAGGAAGACCAGUGGCGAAGGCGGGUCUCUGGACAGUUCCUGACACUGAGACACGAAGGCCAGGGGAGCAAACGGG